rnacentral:snRNA from 1 species
AACUUUGCCCAGUGGCAGUAUCAUAGCCAAGGAAAUUUAUUUGAGGCAUGAUUAUAACUAAUUAAAAAGUCUUCCUGGAUGGGCACGGUGGCUCAUGCCUGUAAUCCCAGCAGCUAAGAGGCU